ACCUUGGGGAAGUUUUGACCUAAGCUGGUAAAGAUAAGCUUAGGAGGUUUUUCAUGCAGGUCCCCACAUCUGUACCCUAGCGUUCAGAGUGGGGAAGGAACCUUGACAACUUGGUGAAGAGAGUACGAUUCUUGAAAGCUCAGGGUGCAACCUUCUUUGCUUUAAGUAGUCUAGUAAAGGUGUGAUGCUGUAUGGAAUCUGGGGGACACCUGAAGAUAUUAUGAAUAACAAUAUUGUAAAAUUGUAAUGUGUAAGGCCAGAUAUGCCUGUGCCCUGUAAGGUAUCUGAAAAAAUGUUAUAAUUUGCCAAAUAUGAUAAUCUUGCUUAUAUGUUUUUGCACCUUUGUAUUAUGGGUUAUAGAUAUGUAUGACUAUAUUUCAAAACUUGUGGUAUUCUUCUGGGUGAUAUCCCCAGACAGCACUGCCUCGCCUGCUUGGUGGCCCAUUAAGGACCAUCAGCUAUACAACUGCGCAUUCAGAGAAGGCAAAUACACCUUAUGAUUCAGCAAGGCAUGUAGGGGCGUGCCUAUGGACAGAACUCUAAGGCUUUCAAGCCAUGUGCUGGGCAGCUUGUGUUUGAAACAAAAGAAGCACAGGCCGCAUGGCAAAAUAUUAUAAAAGGCAGCUGCCUCUUCUCCAUUUUGUCUUCAAUCCUGCUUCUUACCUCUGGAGGAACUUUGAUACAAACUGAAGCUCUGAACAAAGGACUGAAUGACCCAUUGUACGCUGGGAAUCCCCACAACUACAGUGUCUGUUGUCCAUGAGAUUGACAUGACUACCUUUGAUAUUUGUAGCACUGUUUAAACCAGGAUUACUUUUGUAAGGUUCCACUCUUUCUGUAACUGAAGGGUAAAGUCAAAGCCGAUGAUCCUACUGUUCUGCCAGUGAACAAUUUCUAUACUUCUGUCAAGGAGAUACAAAUGCAAGCACAUUUUAUGGCUGAGUGCAUUUAAACUGCCUACAAAUUUAUAUGCAAAUUAGGUGCAGCCCUCAGGCUCAUGGAAAAUUGCAUUUGCGUGUCACAAAGUCUGGACUCGUUUAUUUAAACUGAGGUGCUUGUAAGCUUUUUUUUAACCCUCUUCUCUGUGUUGCUUCCAGUAGUGUCACUUGACUAUGCCUCAAGUACUGUAGCAACAUUUUGCUUUUCUGUUCCAGUGGGAGAUUGACACCUAACCUGCUUAGAUGCUUUUGUAAAUUGCAUUGGGGGUCUAUCUGCAAUUUUAGGCACCAAAAUACCUUUGUAAAACUGACGCUUAGAUAUUUGCAGGAAUAUUUCCUUUGUGCAGCGUUAGCUGAAGUGAAAAGCUGUGUCUUUGUGAACAACCCUUUCUCCUGUCCUAAGGAGGGGUCACAGUAUUUUUUCCCCUGAUUUUCAGGUAGGAAGAACCUUAUAGGCCUGUUUCUCUCCCUCUUUGACCUACAAAAAGGCUAGACUCUGCAUUCUGAUCCAAGAACUUGAGUUUCUAGGCUAAAAAGAAAAUUUGGAAAGCUAUUCCAGUCAUUGUACUAGGGGCAAGAGAUUGACAGUGGACACCCUAUUAGAAAGGAUAUGUGGCAUGAACGUUACCAGGAAUUCCAUAGAUGUCCAUCAGCAAGCACUAGACUAAACAUUGUUUCAACAUAUUAUCAAUAUCAUUUGCAAAGUCUUAGAAGGAUUUGCAGGCAAAGCAUUAGAGCCAAACUCCUAACCUAACAUAUUCUCUAAUGAACCACAGAGAACAGGAGUUGGAGAUUAAAGAGUCUUGGAACCAACCAACACUUCACAAAAGUUGCACCUGCUGAUCAGAAGGCUGCUUAAUGGCCCUCAUCAAGGCAGGGCAUUGUUAAAACUUUUCCCAUCAAAAAUAAACAUGAUGUGUAGCACAGAUUUUCAUCAGCCCUAUUCAGUCACGGGACUCAAGCAUCAAUAAAGUCCACUGUUGCACA